rnacentral:rRNA from 1 species
GACAGAGGGUGCAACCGUUGUUCGGAAUUACUGGGCGUAAAGCGCGUGUAGGCGGCUAAGUAAGUCGGGCGUGAAAUCCCACGGCUCAACCGUGGAAGUGCACUCGAAACUGCGUAGCUAGAGUCCUGGAGAGGAAGGUGGAAUGCUUGGUGUAGAGGUGAAAUUCGUAGAUAUCAAGCGGAACACCAGUGGCGAAGGCGGCUCACUGGCCCGGUACUGACGCUGAGGUGCGAAAGCGUGGGGAGCAAACAGG